rnacentral:rRNA from 1 species
UACCUGCAGCUCGAGUGGUAACCGCUAUUAUUGGGCCUAAAGCGUCCGUAGCCGGUUUGAUAAAUAUCUGGGUAAAUCGUGAGGCUUAACUUCACGAAUUUCGGAUAGACUGCCAGACUUGGGAUCGGGGGAGGUCAGAGGUACUCCAGGGGUAGCGGUGAAAUGUUGUAAUCCUUGGAGGACCACCGGUAGCGAAGGCGUCUGACUAGAACGAGUCCGACGGUGAGGGACGAAGCCCUGGGGCGCAAACCGGAUUAGAUACCCGGGUAGUCCAGGGUGUAAACGAUGUGGGCUUUGUAUUGGAGGUCCCACGUGGGCGUCCAGUGCAGAAGAGAAGUUGUUAAGCCCACCGCCUGGGAAGUACGGUCGCAAGGCUGAAACUUAAAGGAAUUGGCGGGGGAGCACAGCAACGGGAGGAGCGUGCGGUUU